CCGCUUACUAGUAGUAAACACUGUUUUCUUCUUUCUCUCCUAGGUUGCUACGUCCAAGGACUUGUUUGGGUCUCUGGAAAAGCAUUCUUAGACAUGGGACGUAUCAUUUGACAAAGAGACUUCUGUCUUGAUGUUUACGCAAUGGCAUUAGUUGUCAUAUCUACACUUGUUGGUUAGUGGAAGUGUAGGGUCCUCAGGCACCUGAGCAGUCACCGUUGCCCUUGGAUAGCAUGAGCUAAUGCCUCUCCUGUCCCCAUUCUCUGGGCACCUUCAAAUUGUCCCUGCUCUCCUGCGCCGUCAUAGUGUGUAUCACAGGCAUGAAAGUGCCUGAGUUGUGACUCUCUCUAACUAAACGUGAAGCUCUGUGAGAGGAGAGACCAAGUUGUACCAUGUUCAGUACCCACAUCCCCAAAAUGCUCCUCACAGAGAGUGCCUCGGGCUCUUGCUCAGAGAGUACGUGAAGCCUGAGCCUCUCCAUUGUCCUGCCUUUAAGUCGGACACCCAGGUCACAGGUGAGCAGUGAUGGACACACACCUGUUGACACACUGGUGUACACUGGAAAACAGUACAACUGCACUGAGCUCUUUCUGUUGAAUCUUUGUGUCAAAAGUCCUUUUACUUCCUAUGAUAGAGUCAGAUCGUGGAAUCACUGAGUCAAAAGUAGGAGGCUGUUAUGGCUCCAGAUGCACAUAUCACAUUGCUUUCCAGAGAACACCCACCUAAUCCCCACGACAAGCUGUGGAAGCACCUGCCCACAGCACCCUGGCAGGCAUGUUGCUCGUUGCGGCCUUUCUUAAACAAAGAUCAUUAUGUCUAUUCACCUACUGAGCUUCAUUUCUUUCAGUUACAAGGUCAGCUUUUACUGAGAAACCCUCUCAGUGCAAAACACAUGGAAUCAGGACUUAAGGAUUCUGAGCCCCAGUUGCUUUGUCUUCAAAAGGGGCUAAGACCAGGACACCUGCAGCUAUAAGCUGGGCCACUCGGCAGGUGGGGUUUGUGAAAACUCAUAGAACCUUUAUGCAGAAGGGUCUUCGCCUCCACCUAGUCCAAGCUCCCUUUUCAGAUGAGGAAACACUUCAGAAAGAUGAGGUGACGGUAAGCCAGGGCAGCAGCUUCUCUCCAUCCAUCCUCACAGAGCUCGGCCUCAGCCCCAGACCCAGAGUGGUCAGGAGCUCAGACAGAGGUCUGGUGUCACAUGUUCAUCCCUCACACUCUUGGAGAUGCACUGGGACAGCUAACCCUGGUCCCAGGGACAGGACAGACAGGCCCACACCAGGAAAGCAGCCUGACUCCACCAGAACUAUUGCAUUGCUGGCUCAGGUGGCUGCCCCACCUCAGAGCUUCGUCCUGCCUUUCUGGUUAAAAAAGCCCUGGUUUCCUCUAAUGACAUCUCAAUGGAGUGGUUAAGCAAUUAAAGGAGUUUCUUGUAGCAUUCCUGGCCUACAUGUUUACCUCCUGUUUAGAAUACUGGUUUAUAUUUAGGGUGAUUCAUUUAAAAUGGUUUCCUCUUUGCCAGCUUUCCCUCUGCCCUCCCACCUAGUUUCUUGGCCAGUUCCAACCUCUGGAAGCUUCUGGCUAGGAUCAGUAUGGAUGGAACUGCUAAACAACAACAUACACAAUGCAGAAGAAGCAAGCACUAUUUGAUCCACUGAAGCUCCUGAGCAGAAGUGUCGAUGGAAUGAGAGUCCCGGGGCUGCGAGGGAUAAGCACGGCUUUUCCUGGGGCAGCAGCGAGCCCAUCCCUGCAGCCAGGAUGUGAUGAGAAUGAAUGCUGUGAGGGCCUGAGUUGCCUCACAAGCUGACCUCCUCUACUGCACUGACUUUCACCUCACCCAUCAGCCUCCUACCAGCAGUGUUACAUCUUGGAUCUUGUCAUCCCUUAGACCUGUUCCACCUCUGGAAUCUUCCUGUUGGCCUCUCCUGACCAGAACUUAUUUAACUUCUACCUCUCCCACAUGCUACACCCACUGAACUUGCUCUUCUUCCUGUUAGGAGUUCCUGUUUCUUUACCCCUCCCAAUUCUCCCAGUCCCUCGUCAGCCUCCUUUAAAGGUAAUUACAUGACUCCCUUCCC